UACAAGUUAAAGAUAAAGAGUUCAGAUCUUUCCAAGUUUAAGGUGCGGUUAUUACCAACAUCUGGGAACCACAAGACAAGAACAUGUAGCACAGCUGGUCUUGUCUUGUUUCUUUCUCUCCCUUCAGGUUGCAUUCGGAAGGCUGCACAACAGCCAUUCAUGCCCCAACUGGACAUUAACUUUUGUUAAUGUUUUAUACCUGUUACCACACCCUUUGGCUGUUGCAUUGUGAAAACUUCAACUCAUCCUGCCAUCCACCUGAUCACAGCCCUUCCCCUUUCGUUCUUCCCCGCCGACUCCAUUUUCUGCUGCCUUACAAACUCUUAGAUUUUUAUCUUGCUUUGGUUCUGGCGAAAGGUCAUCGGCCAGAAACACGGGCCAGAAUUUUUUGGUCGCCGGACGGGGCGCGAGAUGAUGUUGGGCGAGCCCGCCGACAAUUAAGAGGCCAGUUAAGGUAAUCAAAGGUACAACUGCCUCCGGUUUUUCACGGUCCAUCCAGAUGGCGGCCGGGAGAAUCAGCCAGGGGAACUUCGCACUUUUCACGAAACCUCAUCCAAGGACGAGGAUAUAUCACAGUGACUGAAAGGACACAAGACAGAGCAAGCGGGAUGAUUGAGGUGCUGAAGGGAUUGGAUUGGGACGAGUGGCUCCGUAAAAUGGGCAUGAUUUCACAGGAAAAGAGAAGGCUGAGGACCAUGUGAUCCGUUACAUUAGAACUGCCAAUAAAGCCACAACCAUUUGGACGGCCA